rnacentral:tRNA from 1 species
GGGAGCUCCCAGCGCGCCUGUGAGCACCUGGCUCUGAAUCAGGGUAUCGCCGAUUCGAGCCCGGUACGGCCUACCA